rnacentral:rRNA from 1 species
CGGACGGGUGAGUAAUGCUUGGGAAUCUAGCUUAUGGAGGGGGAUAACUACGGGAAACUGUAGCUAAUACCGCGUAAUAUCGAAAGAUUAAAGUGUGGGACCUUCGGGCCACAUGCCAUAGGAUGAGCCCAAGUGGGAUUAGGUAGUUGGUGAGGUAAAGGCUCACCAAGCCGACGAUCUCUAGCUGGCCUGAGAGGAUGACCAGCCACACUGGGACUGAGACACGGCCCAG